UAAAUAACUAUGUGCUAUAUUAACUGCAAUUAUUACACUGUAUACUAUAUUACUUGCAAUUAAUACACUUUGUACUACAUUGACGGCAAUAAAUGCAAUAUGUGCUAUAGUAGCUGCAAUAAAUGCACCGUGUACUACAUUAACUGCAAUAAAUGCACUGUGUGCUAUAUUAACUGCAAUAAAUGCCCCGUGUACUACAUUAACUGCAAUAAAUGCACUGUGUGCUAUAUUAACUGCAAUAAAUGCCCCGUGUACUACAUUAACUGCAAUAAAUGCACCGUGUACUACAUUAACUGCAAUAA